GGAAGUUUGGGUGAGUGGCUGAAACCAGCAGUUUGCUAAACUGCCGUACGAAUUUUCUCGUACCGGGGGUUCGAAUCCCCCAGCUUCCG
rnacentral:tRNA from 2 species